rnacentral:ncRNA from 2 species
GACAAUCUUCAGGGCAAGGUGAAAUUCCUGACCGGCGGUAAUGGCGUACGUACGUCUGAGCCCGCGACUCGCUGACCACACUUGCAGCGACUGAUCUGGUGAAAGUCCAGAGCCGACGGUACAGUCCGGAUGGAAGAAGAUUUUG